UGUGGUGUGUGUGUGUGGUUUUGUUGUGUGUGUGCGUGUGUGUGUGUGUAUGUGUAUAUGUAUGUAUGUACAUAUGUACAUAUGCGCACACACACACACACACACACACACACACCCCACACACAACACACAUAUAUGUAUAUAGUAUAUGUAUUAUGUAUUAUAUAUAUAUAUAUAUAUACAUAUAUAUAU